rnacentral:rRNA from 1 species
GAUGAACGCUGGCGGCGUGCCUAAUACAUGCAAGUCGAGCGAACAGAUGAGGAGCUUGCUCCUCUGACGUUAGCGGCGGACGGGUGAGUAACACGUGGAUAACCUACCUAUAAGACUGGGAUAACUUCGGGAAACCGGAGCUAAUACCGGAUAAUAUAUUGAACCGCAUGGUUCAAUAGUGAAAGACGGUUUUGCUGUCACUUAUAGAUGGAUCCGCGCCGCAUUAGCUAGUUGGUAAGGUAACGGCUUACCAAGGCAACGAUGCGUAGCCGACCUGAGAGGGUGAUCGGCCAAACUGGGACUGAAAACCGGUCCCGACUCCUACGGGGGGCAAGAGGAAGGAAUCUUCCGCCAUGGGCGAAAGCCUUACGGAGCAACGCCGCGGGGGGGAUGAAGGGCUUCGGAUCGUAAAACUCUGUUAUUAGGGAAGAACAAAUGUGUAAGUAACUAUGCACGUCUUGACGGUACCUAAUCAGAAAGCCACGGCUAACUACGUG